GGAUCCCAGGACGCCCUCGGUGCUGCUCGGACCCCCUCGCCCCGCUCUCCGCCGACCCGAACGCCUGCUCAAGACAACCCAGCUGAGUCCUUCUUACCGUCUCCCCGCUCGGUUAUCCAAUCCUCGUGACUGGUCCGGUCCCUUGGUCCCGGGAUAGUUCGAGCCGUCAUCGUGUUCCCGUCCCGCAGUCCAGCGCUGCGCUCCGUGUGCUCCCGUGUAAAUAAUAAAUCCUUGAAUUCUGA